rnacentral:lncRNA from 10 species
CCCUUGCUCGCUGCUGCUGCCACGUAAGAAGUGUGUUGCUUCCCCUUCGUCUUCCACCAUGAAUAACAGAAUGGCAAUUUUCGUGUGGUGUUAAUUUCCGUGGAAGAAGAAAAGGCUCGACUCUCUGUCCUAUUUUUCAUGAAUACUGGAAGUAGGGAAUAAACCUGGAGUCUCACGGGUGAAAAGAGACAUUUCCAUAUCACCAGACCACAAACGUGGGUGUUGAUUCUAAGGAUACCCCCAAUAAACAUCUUUCGUGCUAAAGCCCAUUCCAGAAUUUACUUCCCAGCUAUCUUUGAUGUUCAUAUUGUCAGAGGUGGUGGCCGCUGAAACAGGCAAAGACAUGGAGCAUAUCUUGGGUCCAGGACCUUGGGAGUCCAGAGGAAGGUCUUUUUACCAUCAGCAUUCUCUACUGUGUUCAAUGACUGUCAGCCAAAGAUGGCCAGGUUCUCUACUGUGAUGGUGAAUUUUAUGUGUCAAUUUGACUGGACCAUGGGAUGCCCAGCUUUCCUUCAGAAAGAAAUGCAUUCAAAGAACCUACAUUCACAACAUAAAGAAAUAAAGCACACACAAGACCGCCAAGCAUUAAGAUUCUCCUGUGGAGCCAGGCUACAAUCCUUUAAAUGAAGACAGACAGCUAGGUGGCUGCAGCCCAGCGCUACACCUCACCCCUCCCUCAGUGUCAUGCAGAAAAAAUGUAUUCAGAACUCAGAAGUGAAGUUGUGCAAAUCCAUCAUUGACACUAGCUUCAAGGUUACCUCGGGGGAGCAGAAUGUACCCCUGCCAGAGAGCUGGAUAGAUGAUGAUGGGGACAGAAAUUCUGGGGGAGUUGUAAAUGGCAGCCACUGCCUCUAUAGGAAACCCAAAGGGAACACAGCAGAAGAGGAGGUGGUGGAGGAGCCACUGCCCUCUCGAAGGGUUCAAUGUCAUUCUGCAGACACAACCAAAUAACUUUUUCUUCCCUGCUGCUCCUCCAUUUGAAAUGACAGCCCCGAGCUCGCUUUUUCCUUGAUUGUGUAACUCUGAUUACAGACAAGGCCAAGGCAAUCCCAGGGCAUUACUACAAAGCUAAGGGGUCCCCAAAGAACUAAAGAGUCAGCUCCACAAAAAUCCCGAUUCCUAGCAUGAAACUGAAAUAUGAAACCAAACGGGCAUAGAAAAGGUAUGUGCAUUCGAAUCACAUAGCAGUGACUGGAGUCCUGAGCUGUGUCUGAAGACUGUGAGAUCACGUUUGGAGCUGCUGAUUGGUUUUCAGUGAUGGCCCUGUUGCACAGUGCCGUGAGACUUAGCUCCAUGGCCAAAGACGAUGGUAUCCCCUAGGAGCCCUGUGAGGUUGCUGCUGUUCUCUUAAGACACCAGGUAGCCAUCUGAUCCUCCCUGAGCAAACUAACUGGGCAGACAGGUUUAUUAAACCUCUGUUGGUCCGACUUACAUGAAACAAGAGAGUUAUUUUGUUGUUGUUGUUUUGUUUUGUUUUAAAUUAAACCUGUCUUUGGAGCCUCCUGCUCUUAGUUUACAAGUCUUCUUUGCACACUCUAAUAUUUUAAGAAGCAGCAAACAUUAACUGAGGGUCUA